CCUGAGCGGCACUGCAUUAUCAAUUACCAUCAGCUGAACGUCCUGCUCAUCUCAUCCCUAAUUGUCAUAAAAUAAUAGGCUUUGCUGAUAUUUCAUAUGAUACUGUAAUUAAUCAGGAACAGAAGAGGUAUAAAAAAUUACCAACGGUUAGUAUUAUUUCAUCAAUUAGUAUCCUUGUAAAGAAAAAAAACCGUGUGGUGUCGUGGGACAACAGAUAGGAACGAAAUUCCUUAUUAUAAGAAUAUAAAUUUUAGUGAUUUACUAAACAAAAAAAAUGGGCAGUUUCCACUGAAUUCCACUGUCUAAAACAAAAAAGUGUGUGUAUACUUACGUAUGCACGCAAGAAGUUAUACUUCUUUGGUAGUAACAAAACAAAUCCUUAAAAAUAUUUAUUAGUCGUGCUAUUCUACGUUUGUAGAAAGAACAAUAUUGUUAAAAUCGUGAAAUAAAUUAUUAAAUAUUAACAAAUACGGUUGUAUUGGCUUGAACCCUUUGCCUGUCCUAAUAAUGGACGACGAAACUAAAAAAAAUAAUUAAUGUCACAAACGUCAGAAAAUUUCUCAAAACUUUUAUUUUUAGAUGUCGUUGUGAGCGCGCAACGUAAAGUCAAAGAAAUUUAUCUUCAAUAACAUCAGAAAGACAUUUUCUCCCGGUUAGGGUCCGCAUCGUCCCAUAAGAAACUUCGUUCCAAAAAUUAGAACAUGAAGUCAAUGAAAAAGAUCGGAGGAUAAAAUUUGGGACAUGGCUGGAACAAGAUGGAGAAGAAAGACGUGGGACAGAGUUCUGUGGAUAAGUUUAGGGAAGAGCUUUGCCAAAGGGAAAACUGACGUAAUAUCGGUUGCUACUGCUAAAUUAGGCAGCUAAAAUUUGAGUUAUUAUAGUCAGUAAAAAUACAAGCGUAUACACAAACAAUCACUUAAGGAGAUACAGCAAGAUGAAAGAGAAGUCGUAAAUAGUCAGCCAUGGCUCUCUAAUAUUUUGAAUAUUUAAAUACAAGCUAACACAUACAGUGACAAAUCAAAAUCCAGUCAGGUCUUCUAUACGCUACGUGGUUAGUAGUAAUAACGGUUUAUUUAAUUUAUACCUAGACUAGCUGCCGCGACAGACGUUGUUCUGCAGAUGAUAAAAAAAUACUGUUUUAUAGAAAUUUGCCAAUAAUAUUUCAAAACAUCAAGAAUUAUUUCGUAAAAAAUGCUCCCUGUUGUAAUAAUGAAAUUGUUUUACAGCGGAACUGUCAAACCGUGCGUCACUAAAUUCUCUCAUAGAAAAUAUGUCCAUACAAAACAAAUAUUGAAAAUAAAAACUCUUUAUGGGUCCCGAAUCGAAAUUAAAACUAUUCUAUCUCUCAAGUUGGACCAAACAGCACACCAUGAAGUAAUCCCCAUUCAAAUCCGUUCAUUAGUUUAGGAGUCCAUCGCGUACAAACAACGUGUCACGUAAUUUAUAUAUAUUAAGAUUUUGGCAAGCUAAUUUCUGUGAUUAUUUAUUAUUACAAACCUAUUUAAAUCUUCUAUUCCAAUCGGUUGAUUACGUAUCUUAAUCCAAGGCAAACUACUACUCGUAAGUAUAAAUUGAUGCAAAAUUACUAUCAAUAUAAAUGGCUGGUCUAGAAAUUCGCCCUCCAUUGCUUAUCUUGAUACUUCAGCUUGUCGGCGUAUGUUGACUUGGAAACCUUAACCAAUUAGAAAUGCUGUAAAAUAUUCAUGUUGAUUGGAGAGCAAUUUGCAACUUGUUUAGAUUCUCUUCGUCACAAGCUUAAGGUGGUGGUCCACUGGAAUGUAAAAAAAUCAGUUUUUAAAAACAUUGACAAAUGCCAACUUACAACAUAUACUUGAACUAUUACAAUUGAAAAUAUCCUGCUUUUUUAAAAAUUUCAGGAAGAACGAUUUUUAAAUAUUACUAUUUAUAACAGAACACUGCAAUUUUAAUUUAGAUUAUAUAUCUCCAAUUUAUGGCUUGAUUUGGAGAUCGAACGUAAAUACGAGGCAAAGCGAAACGUCAAGCUAAAGAGAGUUCAGGAUGGAUUCUCUACCAAGGGGAUACAGACCAUUACUCAUUUGAAAUUUGUAAGAGAAAAUAGGAAAAAGCAAGAAAAAUGUACUCGUUUUAUCAUAUUCCUUUUUAUAUCGGCAAAGAAGCAACGAUAAUUAUUUUUUAUUUGUAAAUAUUAAGACUUUUGAUGAGA